AAGGCUGGGAGUAACUAAUAGAUCUGAUAGGGUGUUUCUUAGCAGAAGGAGGAGCAGGACAAAACAGACCAGAAAGUCCAGUUUCUGAAAAUACAUGUGAUGAAUUGCCUCUCUCAAUUUUAUAUCCUCCUGUGUUGCUAUUUCAAAAACCUUUUUGCUUUCUUGAGAUUAGAUUCUGACCAACCCCUGGAGUGUUACCUGAGAAUGCAAGGCAUGAAAGCCUGAGCUUUAUGUUGCACAGUUCAUCUUUGAAACAGCGAGACCCUGCUCACUCAGAACCACCAAAGAGGCAAUUAUAAACAUUAGUAACACCACACAGAAGCAGCAAUGAAGCACCACAAAUCUUCUGCAGCAGAUCGUACAGUAAAACAGAAAG